CUUCUGAUGACUCCGUCAGGGAAGAAACCAAAAGUACUUUUCAAUUUCGCCGCUAAGAUUCCGUUUGUGAAAUUUACACCCUCUUUUCGUGAGCCGACAUGUGUGGAGGAGCUAUAAUCUCCGAUUUCAUACCGCCGGCGAGAUCCCGGCGCGGUGCAAACGACAAUAUCUGGGCGGAUCUGAAGAAGAACGCGAAGAAGAGCGCGAGGAAGCGGUCUGCUUUCUUCGAUCUCGACGAUGAGUUCGAGGCUGAUUUUCAGGGCUUCAAGAAUGAUUCCUCCGUAGAUUUCGAGGAUGAUUUCGAGGCCGAUGAUGUCUUCGCCGAUGUGAAACCCCCUGUCUUCGCCACUUCUCCAAAACCUGCCGCCGCCGAAUCCGACGGUUUUGCCCCUGCCAAGAAAGCUCCGGAGUUCAACGGGCAAGCCGAGAAAUCUGCAACGAGGAAGAGAAAGAACCAGUAUCGGGGCAUCAGGCAACGCCCUUGGGGCAAAUGGGCUGCUGAGAUCCGUGACCCGAGAAAAGGUGUCCGAGUCUGGCUCGGGACUUUCAACACUGCUGAAGAAGCCGCAAGAGCUUACGAUGACGAGGCACGCAGGAUCCGUGGCAAGAAAGCCAAGGUGAAUUUCCCCGAGGAAACCCCUCGUGUCGGUCAGAACCGCCCCGCUAAGGCCUAUCCUCAGAAGCCAGUGGCCAAACCAAACCCAACUCUGGUCCAGCCCUACAUGGAUCAGAACUUGAACGCCUUUGGCAAUCUUGGACAAGACUGCUUCGAUAAUAUGGGAAUGGUGGAUGAGAAACCUCAGGUGAACUUGAACUCGUUUGACAACGGACUCAAUGCUGCAUUCCCGUAUUUCAGUUCGGACCAGGGUAGUAACUCUUUCGACUGUUCUGAGUUCGGGUGGAACGAUGAAGGACCCAAGACCCCCGAAAUUUCUUCGAUGCUGGUCAAUGACCCGGCUCCAUUCUUGGAGGACACUAACCCGGCCAAGAAGCUGAAGCCCACUACUCAGGAGGUGACCCCUGUUUCAAACACUGAUGAAUCACUCUCUGAUGAGCUGAUGAUGGAAAUGGGUAACCAAAUUCCCUUUCAGGCACCUUACCUCGACAACAAUAACUGGGAGGCUUCACUUGAAGCGUUCCUCAACGGAGAUGAUGCCAUGGCUCAGGACGGGUCAAACCCGAUGGACCUCUGGACCUUCGACGAGAUCCCUUCAAUGCUGGAAGGGAUCUUCUGAUCAGAUCAAUCUCCCUUUCACCCUUGUCGUGUAAAUAAGGCUGCAUGUUAGCAUUGCAUAAGCCAUGAGCCGCCAUGGAAGUGAUCUCUGUCUCUUUAGCUGUCUCCAUGGAGAUGCUCCUCUUUAUAUGUAUCCUGAUAUAAUAUAUGAGGGGGUUGAUGAAGUAAAUAGAGGUUGUAUUUUUAGGUGUCUUCCUUUCGAAAUUUUACCAUCUUUCUCUCAAGACUUUUUUUAUUUUUUAAUCAUCAAUGUUUGAAAAACUUCCGUAUGCUCUUUUUUGACCGUUUCUAUUUAAUAUCUCUUUUGUGCA